rnacentral:tRNA from 1 species
CUGUUGGUAGCUUAAUGAAAGCUUAGGAUUCUUACUCCUACGUUGUAAAUCUUUUUUAUUCGACAGG